rnacentral:rRNA from 1 species
UACAGAGGGUGCGAGCGUUGUCCGGAAUUACUGGGCGUAAAGGGCGCGUAGGCGGCCCGAUAAGUCGGAGGGGAAAGUCAGCGGCUCAACCGCUGGACUGCCUUCGAGACUGUUAGGCUUGAGCAUGGUAGAGGCUGGCGGAAUUCCCGGUGUAGAGGUGAAAUUCGUAGAUAUCGGGAGGAACACCAGUGGCGAAGGCGGCGAUCUGGGUCGAUACUGACGCUGAGGUGCGAAAGCGUGGGGAGCAAACAGG